UCCCUGGUGGCUCAGACGGUAAAGCAUCUGCCUGCAAUGCAGGAGACUCGGGUUUUAUCCCUGAUUUGGGAA
rnacentral:tRNA from 1 species